rnacentral:lncRNA from 1 species
GGGAAAGUGACUGGAGCACCUCCGGAGUUUAACGGGAGGUGGGAAGGGAUGCUCAGGCGGGCACUGAAAGACCCCUCUGCAACUACUUGGGGCCCUAAGAUUCUUUGGUGCUGGGAUUUGGACGUUCAAGUAGCCAGAGGGAAGUGACUUGCUGGAGAGGGAGUUGCUUUUAAAGAAGGAUGCUCAGAAACAGUUUUAAGUACACAUCUUGGCUUGGUUCUGAACUUUGAAAGGCAGGGGGAUUGGAGUCGAGAUCACAUUUUCUUUUGGUAUUCCAACGAAAAGGUGGACCUUGGACGUUAUCUUUUAUUUUAAAAUAUAUGUAUGUGUUCGGUGGUGUUUUACCAGUUAUUAGUUUUGCUGGAAUUUCUCAAACUGCUCCUUGAAAUUCUUGUAGCAGCUUCUCCAUCUGAGAAGAUCCUUUCUUCAGGUUUCUCCAUCCAUUGCAAUGGCUUACUUCCUCCCAACGUAGCAUUUUGGCUGGACUGUACUAUUACACUUUGCUACUGACUUUUAUUCUGCAAGAUUAAUAGGUAAUUCGAAUGCUUUCUCUCCUUGCUUUUCAUUGUUUCUUUACAAGGUCAUGCAAAAUUGAACCACAAAUUCUAUAGUUUAACAUAUUUUAACUUUUAAGCGUUGAAGUGGGAAGAUGUUGGUUAGUUAGCAGCUCUAGAAGGCAAUGUGAAGAUCAGGUUGAGUGUUCUAACAGUUGGGAAUCUUAAUGUCAGAUGUUUAGUUUAAUUUUAAUAUCCUGAACUUGCAUAACACUCUUGAGAGUGGGUUAAGAACGUAAAAAAUGCAUACCUGGGUUAGGCAGUGGCAGUCUACAGAAUCCACCUCUGUGGCAGCCGGUGGAGGUUCUUCAUGUCACUGAGAAGAGGAAGCUGAGAAUUGUACAGCUUGAUCUUUAAUCUUUUUAAUAUUUUCUUAAUCAUAUAUAUGUUAUCUUACUAAUUCCUGACAAUUUACAAAAUGAAAAAUGAGGUGUGUUUUUAGGGACUACUUAAACAUAUAGAAGAAAAUUUUGUAGAUCGUAUUUUCCCUUUGGUGUAAAUUGUAAUUGUCAGUCAGAGAAAACAUUUCUGCAAAAAGGUGUUGAUAUUUGCAGUCGCCACCUCUUAGUUACUGAAGAAAUGGGUAAUUACAUUUUUUUUUCUCCCUAUUGUCCUUGAAUUUUACUGUUCGUCCUUAGGGAGAAUGUACUGGCACACAAAACAGUAGCCUAAAAUAUUGAAACCUAACACCUUUUAACAUUAUAAUAGCUUCUACAUUAUUCACCUUGGGGCUCAUCUGUGGCAAACCAGUGGUCCGGAAAGCUUUCCUCUAUCACCUUUGUUUAGAAUGGGCUUUUACCUCCCUUUGUAGAAUCAAGGAAAAAUAAUGCUGAAUGCUUGCAAAGUAAUGGUAAUAACUCAACAGAAUAAGAAUGGGAAGCUUGGAAAAAAGAUGUUUGUGUAUGAGUCACAUUUCUUUUAGAGCUGGAAGAGUAGACCGUGGAUAUGAUUAUUUUGCAGAUCAGGAGACCGAAGCCCAAACCAGUGGAAGGGACUAAAAUGCUAGCUAGUGACGAGCCAGGAUUGGUGGGCAGAUCUCUGACUGUAGCCAGUUUUUCUACUUUAUCACAUCACGUUGUUAUUUCUAAAGCAUUCUAGGGACAGCUCUAAAUGGUUUUAGGAUUACUUGUGAUGUUGUUCCCCUCUAAGGAUGGGAAGUUUGAGUUGACUAUCUUUAUACAUGAAGUGAUAUAAAACUAGAUGAGCUUUUAUUGAAGAGUUUAAAACAGUAUGCUGCAUUGUUAGCAGAAGUGCUGAUAUUCCCUCUCGUUGGGAAGAGAUAAGCUGUCAUCUAGAUUGAAAUAGUAGACAAACUUCUUAGAGUAGGCCAGUGUUCUGAAACUUUUAUGCUAAAAAUUAACUGCUUAAAAAUUAUCAGAUUUCAAAAGGCUCUUAUAUUUUCAAAGUAAAUUAUGUGAAAAUUAUUUUAAGUAACUUUGGGGGAGGAGGGUUAAUGUUAAAAUGGGUUUUAGUACCUUUACAAAGAGCAGUAGUAAAAUUACGUGAUAAUUAUGAAAACAUGAUUUUGAUCAUAAUUGUGAUAGAGACUGGAUCUGUAUAAUAACGUUAUGAUCCUGGCAAAUUACUUAACCAUUGUGUACCUGGGUUUCCUCACACCUAAAGUGAGGUUAAUAAAAGUACCCAACUCAUAGGGUAUUGGUGAGGAUUAAAAGUACCUCCUUAGCACAGAGUAAGGGUGCAACAAAUAUUAGACAUUAUUUGUAAUGUUCAUUAGGUACUUGUAUGCCCAUUUGUUUCCUUGCUGUUAAUGAAGUCUCUUUGUGGCUAUUAAAAAUUUCUAAAUAAGUAUGUGAUCAAAUCAUAGACUGCUUUAAGGGGAACUUAGUUUAUUUACGUUUUUUUUUUAGUCCUUACUCUGCUCACCUUGGACCUUGAGUUAGGUAUGCCUAUCAAGUUAGAGUGAAUGUGGCUGCUUUUCUGAGUGUCCAUGGGAGACCCUUGUUGCAAUUUCAUUAUUCUAGAAUUAAAAUGUUAAUAAUUGAUUUCCAGUGAGUAUUUUCAAUGAUUGAAAAUAAGUGAGUUCUGGAGGCUAAUUGGUUAAGCUUAGAUGAGGAAACCAGGACUUUUUAAGGUUUAUUAUUAAUUGCAGCCCCCUUCUCCCAUGAAUAUUUUACUUUAUUUUUGUCUUUUUGCCUUUUCUAGGGCCACUUCCGCGGCACAUGGAGGUUCCCAGGCUAGGAGUCUAAUCGGAGCUGCAGCUGCCAGCCUACACCAGAGCCACAGCAACGCUAGAUCUGAGCCACGUCUGCUACCUACACCACAGCUCACGGCACGCCGGAUCCUUAACCCACUGAGCGAGGCCAGGGAUCAAACCCGCAAGCUCAUAGUUCCUAGUUGGAUUUGUUAACCACUGUGCCACAACAGGAACUCCCUAAGUGAAUAUUUUGGUGACUUCAUUCAUUGAACCUUUAGGUUUUAGAGAUAAAAUUUGUCCAAAAAUAACUCCAAUUUUGUAACAUUUUGUUGCUUUUGAUUUUGCUAUAGCCUAGGUCUUAUUCGUAUCAUGAACAUGUGGUUUAUCAAAUGUGUUUUUAAGGUAAAAAUGAUGGAUUUCUUCUCCCGACUAUUGGGGAGUUCUUCCUUAUCAGGUUCCCCAGUUGUUUUUAUAGAAGCUCAUCUUGUGUUUACAGCCCUCUUUAACUUUGAUUCUCCUGCAUCUUUGUGGUCUUUCCUUCUCACAAUAUCUUUACCAUGUAGCUUCUUACUAGCCUUCACACAUGAGCUUACUUUUUUUAUACCUUUUUUUAACAUUAUUUCAAUGAUUUUUAAAAUUUAUAUCACAUAAUUUUGGGGGGGAUGGGGCCACACCUGCGACAUACAGAAGUUCUCAGGGUGGGGGUUGAAUCGGAGCUGGAGCUGCAGGCCUUUGCCACAGCCACAGCAAUGUGGGAUCCAAGUGCAGCCUACUCCACAGCUUGUGGCAGUGCCAGAUCCAUAACCCACUGAGUGAGGCCAGGGAUCAAACCCACAUCCUCAUGGAGUCUAGUUGGGUUCUUAACCUGUUGAGCUACAAUGGGAGCUCCCUCACAUAAUAUUUUUAAAUUGCCCUUAUUUUUAGCGUUUUAUUGAAUCGAGCCUAUUUAAUAGGUUAGAGAUUAAAAUCAGAAACAGGUUAUAGCUCAAAAGCCUCUUUAUUACGCCAGUAGUUGAUUUUUCUCUCUUUUGUUUUAAAUGUCAGGCAGCCAUCCUGUUGGUGUUUCUUGAGGUGAUAGAAAUACAUGGGUCACCCUUUACUCUGAAGUAAUGCCAGCCAGCAGGGCUAAGAGAGUUACAUGGAGCCAUCAAAACUUUUGAGUCAUAUUUUUCCUUCAUUGAUAAGAAUUCAAAUGUUUGAGAGUGACCAACUCCUAAUCUUCUUCUGGUUGUUACAAUAAAGAUUAUGAAAUUAUUAUAAUUUAUUGGCCACUUUUGGCCUCAUGACAUGUAUUACGGUACUUCGUAGAGCUUAGGCAUGCAGAUCUUUUCUUCAGGGUUGUUACAUAAUUAUGUGAAUAAAAUUGUUAAAUAUGGUUUCAAAAGACAUAAAUACCAUGCUGUAAUAAAAACCAAUAGUUGCUCAGUUUUUAAGUUGAUUUUCUUUAUGUAUUUAGAAAUAAUUAUGACGCUGUGAAUUGCUUGUUAGUCAUAUUGAAAAUUAAUGGCAGAGUUCCCUGGUGGCCUGGUGGUUAAGGAUUUGUCAUUAUCACUAAUGUGGCUCAAGUUUGAUCCCUGGCCUGGGAACUUAUGUGUGCCACUGGUGCAG